AUGGCGGACGGCGGCGGCGGUGGGGGCGCGGGCUCGGUGGGCGGCGGCGGAGCGGGCCAGGCCUCGGCGGGGUCGGCGACAGGCGCGACGGGGGCCGGUGGGAGCGGCGGCCCCAUCAACCCGGCCUCACUGCCUCCCGGCGACCCACAGCUCAUCGCUCUCAUCGUGGAGCAGCUCAAAAGCCGGGGCUUGUUUGACAGCUUCCGCCGGGAUUGCCUGGCGGACGUGGACACCAAGCCAGCUUACCAAAACCUGAGGCAGAAAGUGGAUAAUUUUGUGUCAACACAUCUGGACAAGCAGGAAUGGAAUCCUACAAUGAACAAAAACCAGUUGCGAAAUGGUCUGAGGCAGAGUGUAGUUCAGUCAGGGAUGUUGGAAGCUGGAGUGGACAGAAUCAUUUCUCAAGUGGUGGAUCCCAAACUAAACCACAUCUUCAGACCACAGAUAGAAAGAGCGAUUCACGAGUUCCUGGCGGCCAAGAAGAAAGAAGCCGUGCCAGCGCCCCCUCCAGAGCCUGAGAGCCAGGACCCCCCAGCUCCCUCCCAGGAUGCUUCCUAAGGUCCAGUAUCCCGUCUUUUGUCCAGGAGCAUUCAUCUCUGGCUUAUAAAUAUAUAAAAUGGAUAGAAAAGGGAGUAUGUCUGACACCUUUUGGAAGCUCCAUUGAAUUAACCAUGAAGAAAUGGAUUCGGUUACUUAAGAGGACAACUUCAGAAUGAAGACAGGCUGAGGUCGUCACUGAUUUCAACGUUCAGCCUUGACUGUGGGGCAGUGUCCAGAUUGAACAGGCAGUGACAGUGGACCGUGUGUGCCCCCUCAUUGUGCUGCCGUCUGGUCAGCCUGCCAAAGGGGGUGACAGCCAGUAGACACUACAGAGAUACAAAGAAACACUACAUCAGUCUGGGGUUGUCCUGAAACCUUUAUACUUGAACUUGGAGACUGUGUGGAUUUUAGGGUUUGUGCUCGGGGAUCCCUAGAGGGGCUGUAGCUACAGUGGAGGAACAUAACCAGUUCCAAAGAAUGACAGUAAAGGUUAGCAUGGAGUAGGAAUUAGUGCUUAACUGUCAACUAGAAUGUUUAAGCUGUCAGCACCAACUAGCUCAAAAGCUGUCAUGACCCUCUUGUACGUGAAUCUUGUAGCUUCGGUUUCCUUUCCUCCGUAAGAGGUGACAACACAUGGGACCGUAGAAUGUGUGAGGAAGUGCAGACAUCAGGUAGAAGGAGAAACAUCUGCAGGCUGUCUGUCCAGGGCUGCUGCUUAUCCUGCAAGGGCUAGUGAGUCUUGGUGUGUUUAUUUUAUUCUCACGUUUGUGUUUUUUAGAAAAGUUGAAUGAUCAAUAAAUAGCUUAAGUUUUGUAAUAAAAUCAUUUGCUACUCCUAC